CCUACGGGAGGCUGCAGUAGGGAAUAUUGCACAAUGAGGGAAACCCUGAUGCAGCGACGCCGCGUGGAGGAUGAAGGUUUUCGGAUUGUAAACUCCUGUUGUUAGAGAAGAUAAUGACGGUAUCUAACGAAUAAGCACCUGCUAACUCCUUGCCAGCAGCCGCGGUCAUACGGAGGGUGCGAGCGUUCAGCGGAAUCACUGGGCGGAAAGAGGGCGUAGGCGGGGUAGCAAGGUAGAUGUGAAAUCCCAUGGCUUAACCAUAGAACUGCAUUUGACACUGGUAUUCUAGAGUAUGGGAGAGGUAGGUGGAAUUCUUUGUGUAGGGGUAAAAUCCGUAGAGAUAAAGAAGAAUACUCAGUGCGAAGGCGACCUGCUAGAUCAUAACUGACGCUGAGGCGCGAAAGCGUGGGGAGCAAACAGGAUUAGAUACCCGGGUAGUC
rnacentral:rRNA from 1 species